rnacentral:lncRNA from 1 species
CCGUGGACAAGUUUGGAAUUCAACAAUGAAGUGGACAAGUUUGGAUUCAACAAUGAAGUAUUAGCAGGUCUUUGGAAAGGUUAGCAACCUCCUGCCGAAAUUCAUGAUCGCCUCAGCUAUGCUAGAUUGUAGCCAAUGUGCAAUUGUCAACCUCUUAUUGCCUCAUGCGACCUCAGUUAGAGAACUUGCUGCUUUCUUUGUAAGUUGGCAGUCUAGCUUUUGAGCACGCUCAUAAUCUCUGAAUUCAUUGCCAUGCUGAAUUAAAUAACUCAAGAGAGUUUUCAGCUGAUACAUAUAGUCAUAAAGGUUGUGAACACUUGUUACUAGGUGAUUGAUGAACAUUGUUUGUUCAAAAAGACUCGAGCUUGCUAAUUUUUAUUCAUAGAACCUCCCGAGCUAAGUAUGGUGAAGGUGAUUUUAUUCUCUUAUUUAUCUGGAGUAUUUUGUUUUUCUAUCCUACCAAUCCAAAAACUGAGCAGAUUUCUUGAGCCUCGAUUAUUGCAAUUUGAAUAUUUAGUGCGUAUUGUUAAGUUUGAUGUUCCUCUAGUCUGAAGUCUUGAAAGCCAGUCAUUCUGUUUGCGUAACAGCUAGCCUCUUCAACACUUGGCAUUGAAUUCCUUCAUCAGGAUAUCACCUACUCCGCUGGUGUACAUAUAUACACAAAUCUCAAAAAUUAAACCAUUUCUUCCAUGUGUUCACACCAUACCUACCUAUAUAGCGCAUCUCUUGCUAUUCCAUAUUUAGUCGAUUAUUCCAUAAGCACACUCAUGAAAGUUCGAGAAGAUUCGAAAGAGCUUUAUUGUCAUCGUCAUCAACCCUCCAAAUUCCAUCAUUCUGAAAUGACACCUCUCUCACACAAAAAUGAAAAAAAGAGAAAAGAAAAAGAGAGAGGGUCACCAUUCAAAAGAUCAAGGGUUCAUCCUCAAGGAGGAAGAAAUAGUCUGCGCCGCUUCCAUAUUCAUGUGCAGAAUGGCUAAUCAAACUACUACCUAUGCAAUAUUAAUAACGGGAACAUUACUAGCAUCCCGGGAUCACCUUACAUUGCAUAGGCAUCUCAAUCAUUUCUUUGGCAUGAGUCCAUUCGUUCCCAUAUCCCCUGGGCACUACCUUUCUCCAAUGACUGGAAUGUGAAGACUUCUUUGUACUAGAGUGGAACACUUAUUUAGCUUUACUAUCUAGAUUUCAGUUUUGCUCAUUCUCUGAAUUACCCUACCAAGCUCCAGAUAAGCUUUCCACAAAUAUAAAGUAGAUAGAAAACGCUCCGGCCACUGGCCAGUGAGGACUAUAAUUGUGUGAUGAGAGUAAUUCCAGAUCAUGACGAGGUAAUCUCACUAGAAACCUGCUCUUGGAAGGUUCACAAAGGAAUAAAAUUGUUGGUUGCUCGUGUUCUCUUUUGUUCUUGAAAUUGAAGUCAAACCUCCUAGUGAUUGUGUUCAAAAACUUUGAUGGCUAUAUUGUUGAUGCUGUUCACUCUCAUAAAAUGGAACCCAUUCCUUACUGGCAAUGAAUACGAGUUGUUAUUUAAGCUUGUGCUCAAUUGCUAGCUUGCUACUUUGAUAAGUUUGUGGGAAGUGUCUCGAUCCGAAGUUUAUGAGGAUUUUAAUAAUUGUUUGCACAUGAGCACUUGUCUGCAAUCUCGCUAUGCUAAGCUUUCAGGUGUUUCACAAGCACAUGGGCAAGUUGAAUCAGGAGCCUAAAUCCUAUGGCCUGCCAUUUGCUGUGGUCUGAGACUCUUUCUCGGAGGGAAGAAUCAGAAAGGGAGAAGCCUGAGACGAACCAUACCCUUUGUUUGUCUUUGCAGCCUGAGAUGAAGAGCCUAUAAGGAAGAGAGGAUACUUUUUUCGCACUCAUUUCCUUGUAGCUUCAGUCUGUAGUAGGUCUCGAUGAGUGGUACGAAAACAGGACAACUUUUUUGUCAUUCGUUUUCUCAGUGUGGACAUGUAUGUUCAGUGAAAUGAAAUGCAGUUCUUUGCAACACUAUCUUCAUAUCUGAGCCUAUGCUUGGGUGUCACUUUUGGUUGUCUGUGCUAACGCAUAAUUAAAUAAAGACACCACAAUGGUUCACUGCA